GAUGAACGCUGGCGGCGUGCCUAAUACAUGCCAGUCGAGCGAACAGACGAGGAGCUUGCUCCUCUGACGUUAGCGGCGGACGGGUGAGUAACACGUGGAUAACCUACCUAUAAGACUGGGAUAACUUCGGGACACCGGAGCUAAUACCGGAUAAUCUAUUGAACCGCAUGGUUCAAUAGUGAAAGACGGUUUUGCUGUCACUUAUAGAUGGAUCCGCGCCGCAUUAGCUAGUUGGUAAGGUAACGGCUUACCAAGGCAACGAUGCGUAGCCGACCUGAGAGGAUGAUCAGCCACACUGGAACUGAGACACGGUCCAGACUCCUACGGGAAGCAGCAGUAGGGAAUCUGCCGCAAGGGGCGGAAGCCUGACGGAGCAACGCCGCGUGAGUGAUGAAGGUCUUCGGAUCGGAAAACUCUGUUAUUAGGGAAGAACAAAUGUGUAAGUAACUAUGCACGUCUUGACGGUACCUAAUCAGAAAGCCACGGCUAACUACGUG
rnacentral:rRNA from 1 species